UACGAAGGGGGCUAGCGUUGCUCGGAAUUACUGGGCGUAAAGGGCGCGUAGGCGGACAGCUUAGUCAGAGGUGAAAGCCCAGGGCUCAACCUUGGAAUUGCCUUUGAUACUGGCUAUCUUGAGUUCGGGAGAGGUGAGUGGAAUGCCGAGUGUAGAGGUGAAAUUCGUAGAUAUUCGGCGGAACACCAGUGGCGAAGGCGACUCACUGGCCCGAUACUGACGCUGAGGUGCGAAAGCGUGGGGAGCAAACAGG
rnacentral:rRNA from 1 species